AGCGUAGGCGGACUUUUAAAGUGGGAUGUGAAAUACUCGGGCUCAACCUGAGUGCUGCAUUCCAAACUGGAAGUCUAGAGUGCAGGAGGGGAAAGUGGAAUUCCUAGUGUAGCGGUGAAAUGCGUAGAUAUUAGGAAGAACACCGGUGGCGAAGGCGACUUUCUGGACUGUAACUGACGCUGAGGCUCGAAAGCGUGGGGAGCGAACA
rnacentral:rRNA from 1 species